rnacentral:rRNA from 1 species
GUGCCAGCCGCCGCGGUAAUACGUAUGGGGCAAGCGUUAUCCGGAUUUAUUGGGCGUAAAGAGCGCGUAGGCGGAUUGUUAAGUCAGAUGUGAAAUCCGGGGGCUCAACCCGCGGUCUGCAUCUGAAACUGGCAGUCUUGAGUCUGGUAGAGGAAAGUGGAAUUCCCAGUGUAGCGGUGAAAUGCGCAGAUAUUGGGAGGAACACCAGUGGCGAAGGCGGCUUUCUGGGCCACGACUGACGCUGAGGCGCGAAAGCUAGGGGAGCAAACAGGAUUAGAUACCCCCGUAGUCC